rnacentral:rRNA from 1 species
AUACGUAGGGGGCGAGCGUUGUCCGGAAUGACUGGGCGUAAAGGGCGCGUAGGCGGUUCGGUAAGUUAGGAGUGAAAGUCCAGCUUUCAAGGGCGGAAUAGCUUUUAAUACUGUCGGGCUAGAGUGCAGAAGAGGUAAGCGGAAUUCCCAGUGUAGCGGUGAAAUGCGUAGAGAUUGGGAAGAACACCAGUGGCGAAGGCGGCGUACUGGGCUGUAACGGACGCUGAGGCGCGAAAGAGGGGGGAGCGAACAGGAUUAGAUACCCUGGUAGUCCACGUUGUAAACGAUGAGUGCUAGGUGUAGGGGGUAUCGACCCCUUCUGUGCCGCAGUCAACACAAUAAGCAUUCCGCCUGUGGAGUACGGCCGCAAGGUUGAAACUCAAAUGAAUUGACGGGG